rnacentral:rRNA from 1 species
AACGAACGCUGGCGGCAGGCUUAACACAUGCUAGUCGAACGCCCCGCAAGGGGAGUGGCAGACGGGUGAGUAACGCGUGGGAAUCUACCUAGUUCUACGGAACAACAGAGGGAAACUUCUGCUAAUACCGUAUACGCCCUACGGGGGAAAGAUUUAUCGGAAUUAGAGUGGAGCCCGCGUAAGAUUAGCUAGUUGGUGGG